rnacentral:lncRNA from 1 species
AAAAAAAAUCUACGAAAAUUAACCAGCGAAAAAAAACCUAUAAAAAUUAUCCAGCGAAAAAACCCUAAACCAAUCGCCCGCACGUACGAGCGAGGUCUCCUUCCCUCGAGCGAGAACCACUCGCAUGCACGACUAUCUGCCCUCGUUCACCGCCGCCCUUCAUCCCUUCGCCGCCGCCGCCGCUCCAUCCCUUUGCCGCCGGCCUCGCACAUCAAAGGCGCUUCACUCGCCGCCCUCCAUCGGACACGUCCAGGAUCCAGCGGUGAACACGUCCAGGAUCCGCCACCGAACACGUCCAGGAUUCGGCGCUGAUCCUGGACAAGCAGACGCCGACGAGAUAUAGGUAUUACUAGCAGGUAGUGCGCAGCGGCACGCCGCGCCCUAUUAAUUCGUGUGUGAUAUGUUUUAAUUGAGUUUUUCAAAACUCGUUGUACAUUGUGUAUGUGUGUAUCUUUAUAGUGAGUGGGAGAAUAGUUUUGCUAUAGUAGUAUCUAGAUAGAGUCUUUAUAUUGUGAUACAUAGAACCGGUUUCAGGGAUGUAGUGGUGGAGUAGAGGCCAAUUCCUUUUGUCUUUCGCGGGCUUGUUUCAAGCGUAGAUGAUCAAGGUAAUUGUUGGUCAUCAUGUUGAGUGCAUCAUGAUUGAUGAUCCCCUAGAGUUUUAGCCAUUUUGGUGGGGAAGCGAGAUUUACCUCAUCAAGUUGAUCACUCUUUAAAGCUACCAAAACUUGUACUAUGAUAUUCCACUGAAUUUUACAUUAACUUCAGGUUCAUGUUUGUCAAGGAGAGACUUUCCAUGAUAUCGUACGACAACAUAUUUCUUCCUGUUUUUCUUGGUUUUCUCGCGAGAGGGCUUAUCAUCUUGUUUACUUGGUUGGGGUCUCAUCGGCCUGCAGAAAAAUAUACUCCAGAUAUAGCUAAUGGAGGGAUCACUAUGGAUUUUACUAACAAAGAAUGUCCACUUUGAUAAAUUGAUGCAUCCAUGCAAAAUUACCUUUCACAUGUGCACGAGUAAAAUACAACUAAAAUACUAUGCAUCCAAUAUCUAAUCGCACAAACCAGCCCAAAGGUGCAAAAAUCCCUCCUUUCAUACAUGCACAACUACCAAUUUAAUUGCCAAUGAGCUAUUAUAAUUUAACUUAAUUUUAUAAAACCCAUCCUAUUUUUUUAGAGACUUCACACGCAACACAAUAGUAAUAUUCUCUAGGAAAACUAUAACAGAGUUAAAAACUUGUUAUGCCAAACCAGUAAACAAGGAUGCCAAACACACAUAAUUGUGUUUUUGAGGAAAAAAUAAUUAAUCCAUAGUUUUUAGUUACAAAACUCACAAUCUCUAGAGCGACAUGAUCGAGAAACAAUGAAUUAGGCGGAAACGUUGCAACGCAUACACGUACACACAUUAUGUGUAGGCAAGAACAAUCACGAAGCUGUGACUAAUCGAUGAAAAAGGUAUUGCAUGCCUCAUGGCCCCCCCCCCCACCGCUCCAGCCACACGUGUGACUCCGCUGCUGGCCACGUGCCGCAGUGAGCGGCCACUGAAAGAAACGCCUCGUGAGUGUGGGGCUCGGCUGCCACUCCUCCAGACUUCCAAAUCCACCACCGGAGCCCCAAUGGCUGCCGCCGGGGACCUCAAGUCGGAGUACCCCCAGGUCCUGCUCAACCGCCACCGCGAACACCGAGGUCAGCCAGCCCCAUCCCCCUCCCGCGCGCCGUGAGUUUGUAGCCUGAGCUAACCAAUGGCUUGCCCUGAAUCAGCUCGUGGCGACCCAGUCCCAGUGCCUCUGAGCAUGGAGUAAGGGAGUCCGAUGAAGGACCUAUUGUACCAAGGCAACCGUCCUGUGUCUCAGAAAGAUCAGGAACCUCCAUCGAUCUGAGCAAACACAUUCCAUCUUCCAGAUCGAAGUUAUUGUGUCGAUUCUGCUGUUUUUUUUGAAGACAUGGAGUCGUACCCAAGGAAAAAGGUGGAGAACUUCGAGGAGAAGCCAGUUGAAGAAAAUUUCUACUUGUUUACUGAGGUACCUUUUGGCCCAUACAGUUCUAUGAUCAAUCGAUUGAUUCGUUGCAGGUGUUAAGUGGAUACAGUGCACAAUGCACACUACUUGCAUCUUCGCAGUUGAAAUUGAGAUCAGUGAAAACCAACUACAUUUGAGCAGCCCAAAAGGUAAUAGAGGAGCAAUAAUAGUAAUCUGUGUUUUGUUAGGUGCCUGUUUCAUGUCAAUGCUUGUCAUAUACAAAUACAGAUUGGUAUUGCAUACAUGUGCUUCAGUUAGCACAUUUGCUCUCAUGUUACCACUCAGACCCUGUGUCUUGGUCCUUGAGUGCAAAGGAAAAAGGAUACAAUCCGUCAAAUUUUAGUCCUGAAGCAAGUAUACUCUUGGCUAUAGAAAGUUCAUCAAUUUUUCUUCAGUGCACAACGUCAAAAAAAAUAUAGCGACGCAUAAGCCUGAAGUUAUCAUCAGUAUCUUGCACCAAUAGUACAGGAGCACCAUGUGAAAUAUUGGAAUGUAUUGAAACAUACCACUAUACCAGGCCUUGUUUUAUCAACAACAGGGACAUACAAAAUUGUUCCUAAAUUCAGGAAUAACUGAAACAUAUCGGCGUCACUCUGUACUCUUAGACCAAAAGUUCCUAAAUUCAGUAAUAACUGGAACAGAUCAGUGUUACUCUUAAAUCAAAAAUAUUUACUCUAGUUCAACAGAACAGAACAGAUCACCCAUAGUUCAAGGGAGUCUAGUGGCAUUGUUACAAAGUACUCAUUUACUCUUAGAAAAAAUGACACUGCAUUUUUUUACAUUCAGAAAUUAGCUGCUCCGACUACAGACCGAGUGUUCAACAUGCAGCUGCUUACAUACACUGAGAAUACACAUAUACUACUGCAUAGCUCACAACCAUGCACGAGUGUUGUCACUACCCGGGUCAAUAGCAGCAAUCAACAGUCCUCAUUAGCAAUAAACAAAACAAAACAAAACAAAAAAUCCUGCAUAGUCCACCCAUUGUCGCAUGCACACUUGUCAUAAUUUUUUCUGAACCAAACCAGCAAUUAAUGACGAAACUCCUCAUACAGAUGUAUCCCUACAAAUACUAAAUCAAACUUAAACGAAAGAAAGUCACUAAGACCAAUUGUCAUGCAACCAGCCAAUAAGAGAAAAGAAACACAUGCCAAGAAACAUUAGUCAGUGGGAAUCGAAAUGAAAGCCUAUGCAUUCAUUAAUUGGCUCUCAGGAGACCCAAAUGCAACUCGCAUGCAGAUGAAUGAAGUGAGACAAAUAGCAGGUCCUAAGCUAUAAACGUGUAAGAUUAUGAAGUUGUCCUAUCAGUUCGUUUUUAGAUAUCAGCAAGAAGUUUUGUGGGUAAGAAAGUUUUCAGUAAGCUGAAGAGUCUUGUGCUUAGAAAGCUUAUCUUCUGCAAGCGAGAAAGAAGAACCAGAACACCACGGCUGCACCAGAGAUCGAGGUAAUCCUGCCAUCGAGAGGACAUGGAAAGGGGGGCGUCGCUGAACCUGUGCAGAUGGGUUGAAGUUGUGCUGGCGAGACGGCAUGUUGCAUAGCUGCCAAGCUAAUGACCGAGACGCUUGAUCCAUACUCGGCCAGGAAGAAAGAGCAGCUUCUAUUUGUGCUUCCACCUUCCCACGGUGGUACUGGUGUUCCAUACGGCGAGCGGCAGCUUUGCUAGCUCCUGCACUAUUCAUGCUUCCAUAUCAAGAGUUGGCUGCAGGUCUGGUCAUCCAGAUCAGGGGCCAGCAGCAUUUGAUUCCCGUGGUAAAAAGAGGCGCCCGCUCCUAAUGCAUACCUGCUGCGGCUGCAAGGAAAGGGGAAAAUUGGGAGAUGAGUAGGAAAGAGGCAGGGGGAGAAAGCCAUCAACCUUAUUAGCGGGGGAACGCACCAGCGACCGAAGGCGGCGCGGUUCAUCUCGACGACGGCGGCACACCCGCGCUCGCGCGGGAGGAUGACCACACUGCGGAGGAGUCGCACAGGGCAGGGAGAGCCCGUGACCGGCGAGCGACCUAGGAUAGAACCCCAUGCACUCCAUGGAGAAAUCGGCGGCGCUGGAUCGGACAUCAACAGGGCAGAGCUCACGCUGUAUUCAAUGGGAGGGGCGUCGGGAGAGAAGGAGCCGGGAUUAUGGCGCAGCCGAGAUGGAAGACACACAUGGAGUGGGGCGUUUUUAUAGAGCCAAACAGCGGCCAAGCGGUGGAACGGGCUUUACGGGAUCCUUCGAGAGACCAGGCGAAAUAUCUCGAGAGAGAGUCAAAGAGGACAGGUGGUGGAGAGAGACCGAAGCCAAUCCACGCGUCGUACGCUUCCUACUCCUGAGAUUUCUACUCCAGACAAGUUUGACUGGUAGAUGGUCAAAGCGGUGGGGGUAGAACGUGGCAAACCAAGGGAAUGGAACACCCUGUCACACGCAUCAAUUCUAUAGCAGCAGUAAAAAGUUCAAAAAAACCAGAAAAAUCGAACCCUUACAGGCCUAGUAUUCUUAGUAUAUUUGAUACAGCCAUCACAUCUCAUACAUCAUCGCAUCUCAUACAGGCAUCACAUCUCAUACAACCAUCGCAUGAACAGUUUACUCCUAAUGCGAUUGCUUUCACAGAAAAGUAUGAGGCCCAACCCACAUGAGAAAGCCAAUGCACGUGACUGCACUUUAACCUGUUACAGUGAAAGAGUAGAUGCAAUUUUAGAUGGCUUUCACAUAACUGGAGAAAAGAUUCAGAAGUAGGCAAGCAUGCUAACCAUCAAUAAGAGAAAACUGAUUUCUAACUUCUAAGAGUAUAUAACCAGGAGAUCCAAAUACCUAUUCUCUCAAAGCACCACUUCUUCCCAUAGGCAUCACACUGUAUCAAUGUUAUGACAAAAGGGCAGUUUCAACACCCUACAGAAGAGAUGGUGCAGACACUAACGGUUAAACGCUUACAGAGGUUUAUGCACAAGGAGAAAACUGUGUAUAUUGUGAUGAAACUGCAAGUAAACUACCAAGUCAAACAAAAUCGUGUGUAUGCGCCUCAGGACAUCCAAAAUUGUAUGCGCUUCAGGACAUCCAAAAUCGUGUGCUUCUGUUUGCAGGCAUAGUGAGCGCAGAAGAAUACAAGUCUGUUCAAAGCAACAGAAUGUAUUAGUUACUUGACAAGCCAGAUGAGUUUCUGUAGUUACCUAUUUUUGUUCUAUCAAUUCGUAAGAUAAUGCAUCAUCUCAAUCUGAUAGGUGUAAAUGAUCAUGUAAUCUAAUAACAGUAUCGAUGUUUGGCUUUGUUUGGCGACUGGAAUUUUCUAUUGCGGAAAGUUACUGAUCAUGGUACAUUAGAAUCGCCAAACUGAACAGGUGGAUUCAGUACAUUAUUGAAUAUACAUCAGUUCCUUCUGCGCUUUUACAAAUGUAGUUUUGGAAAAUCACACACAAACUAUUCAGUUUCUUACUCCUCAUCAACCGAAUGCAGCUCUGUAAGCUAACCGGAUCAGCUAUUGUUUUCUUUAAGUUCAUUUUUUAGCGCCAAUGGAGCAUGACGUUUGAAGAUAUGGAGGCGCCAAAUCUGUGCCGACCCCCUAUUGGUGAUGCCUCUAAUGGAGCCCCUCUUGGUGACAUCUCUAAUGUUGAUCAUCAUUCCCGAAUGACUCCAGUGCCAAUGCCAGGUAAUUGCGAGCAUAACUUCUUACUAUUUAUCACAAUGAGCAUACAUAUAGUUGAUGAGGUUUUUCUACUGUUAUUAAAUGGCUGUAACAUUUGUAGCCUCACACGACCUUACCCCUUAUGGAUCUCACUGCCAAAGGGUAAAUCUUGCUAGCAAUACCAACAUAGCAAGGAAAAAGAAACGAUCAAUGCGAAAAAUGCCAAUUGAUGCCAUCUUAGCGGCAUCUCCACUAUCAAUCAACUCCCCAAAUGGAGUACAGGUAUAAAAAUUGCACGACACAACCAAAAGGGCAAUUCUUAAUGUCUAAUGUCUGGAGGUACUCUUCAUUGGUUUUAAUUGUCUUUCUACUCAUUUCAGUAAAAUUGUUCCACAGGAACUAUCGCAGACUGCGACAUCUGACCUUAACAUGCCAGAUACGGUUCAUGAUGAUGGAGAACAUAACAGGAACUCAUCAAUAGAAAAAGGGGCAUUCUAAACAGAAAAAGGAGAAAAAAGAAAAGGAAAGCACAUCACUCCCAGCCUAACGGUCAAACGUGUUUAUGAACAUGAUGCAUUGAGGGGACAGUUAAAAGUCACAAAAGGUAAAUGUGUCCCCAGUUUUGAAUGAUUACAUACUUGCUAAAUUACUUCUUCUUAAAGUUGUUACUGCUGCUGCUGAUGGAUCCACUUAAUGAAUUAGACUAACUAUUUGUUUUGGAUUGUACAUGAGCUAUCAUUCUGGUACAUCUACUAAUAUUUUUUUGGUACCUUUGUUUGUAUGUGAACGUUCUAUACAUGCCAUAUACUAUGAAAGAACAGUAUGUACAUGCCGUAUACUUUUGUUUGUGUCAGACUUUCAUGUCUUAGUCUGAUCCUAUCACUCUCCCUAUAUGUCGUUCAAAGACAUCCAUAUGAACCUAUAUGUCGUGGAAGUGCAUACGUACUUCUCAGUUCUUAUAGAGAACGGAAACUGGGUGGCAUGUGUUAUCAGAAGUUGUGUAUAAUCAUUUAUGGAAAUAUCAAAAAUUAAAAAUCCCAUGAAUUUGGAAUAGGGAAAUUCAAGUAGGUAGGAAGUACUGACAUACCAAGGAAUAAUAAAGAAUAGCACCACUGCAGCUACAAAAUCACAAUCAUUUGUUCAAGGAUCUGAACUCAAUUCACCCUGAAAAACAAUUAGUCAUCUUAAGUCAGACUGCAUGAUAGUCGGAUGGGAUCGAAAGCAAUUGACUGUCAAGGAAUGUACCCGUCUGCACCUGCCUGCACCCGACACAACCAUCGCCUUCACCACUGCUGCAUCGCCUCCGAACUCCUUGGUGAAGAUACUGAAGCUAAUAGGAGAACUAAUGAGUAAGCCAAAUGCAAAAUCGAAGAGAGAUUAUCUCUACAAAGCAGAUGAUAUGGGAAAACAGGACCAACUGCAAGGAGAGGAAAAAUCACAAAUAGCAGUUAAAAGCGUCUACAAAUUAACAGCUAGGUACUAUGGUGCCCCUAAUUAACUAAUAAUAGGAAGAUGUAUAAGUAUUGAUCAUUCAUUCGUUCCUAAUCAAAAGAAUCUGUGUGAAAGUUUUUGAGCCAUGACUUAAAUUUGUUCUGAAGAACAUGAUAGUAGAGAUUCAUGCAUUUUCAAAGGACAUGAUAAACAUAACAUGGAGAGAGAUUAUCCUAUACCUAAAUCAGAGGCCCAUAGUCUGAAGAAAUUCUCCUACACCUACCCGUCAAAAAAAUAUAUUCUCCUACACCUAAAUCAGAGACCGUAGUCCUGAACAAAUUGUCCGACACCUUGUAUUUCAGUACAGUUGCAAACUGGGUGUUUUGAUGUGAGAUUCACUCAGAGUGAACAAUUGAUAUUAAGUGAUCUGGUUUACUACUAAAUAGUUGGAUCAAUGCUCAAAUCUGAAGUUUGCUACGGGUGUAAAACAGAGAACAACCAUGGAUACUUAAUUCACUCCUUGCGGCCGUCCGUACGGGCGUCGUGGCGCAGACCUCCUGAGGAUGGCCUCCUGCUAGCCUUGCUGAUGCAGGCCUCUCCCUGUGCAUCUCACCACAUCAGAAUUGAUUGGCGCACUUGCUCCUGUCCAAAUUACACCAGUCGCUGCCGCAACCCACAAGCGCACGGCGAUGAGAAUUGAAACGAAGCAAACAAGCAGAGUGGGAGAAGGACCGGGCGUAC